UACGAAGGGGGCUAGCGUUGCUCGGAAUCACUGGGCGUAAAGGGUGCGUAGGCGGGUUUUUAAGUCAGGGGUGAAAUCCUGGAGCUCAACUCCAGAACUGCCUUUGAUACUGAAGAUCUUGAGUCCGGGAGAGGUGAGUGGAACUGCGAGUGUAGAGGUGAAAUUCGUAGAUAUUCGGAAGAACACCAGUGGCGAAGGCGGCUCACUGGUCCGGUACUGACGCUGAUGUGCGAAAGCGUGGGGAGCAAACAGGG
rnacentral:rRNA from 1 species